rnacentral:rRNA from 1 species
UCUCUGGGCAUUAACUGACGCUGAGGAGCGGAAAAGCAUGGGGAGCGAACAGGAUUAGAUACCCCUGGUAGUCCAUGCCGUAAACGUUGGGCACUAGGUGUGGGGGACAUUCCCACGUUUUCCGCGCCGUAGCUAACGCAUUAAGUGCCCCGCCUGGGGAGUACGGCCGCAAGGCUAAAACUCAAAGGAAUUGACGGGGGCCCGCACAAGCGGCGGAGCAUGCGGAUUAAUUCGAUGCAACGCGAAGAACCUUACCAAGGCUUGACAUGUGCCAGACCGCCGUGGAAACACGGUUUCCCCUUUGGGGCUGGUUCACAGGUGGUGCAUGGUUGUCGUCAGCUCGUGUCGUGAGAUGUUGGGUUAAGUCCCGCAACGAGCGCAACCCUCGUUCCAUGUUGCCAGCGCGUAAAGGCGGGGACUCAUGGGAGACUGCCGGGGUCAACUCGGAGGAAGGUGGGGACGACGUCAAAUCAUCAUGCCCCUUAUGUCUUGGGCUUCACGCAUGCUACAAUGGCCGGUACAAUGGGUUGCGAUACUGUGAGGUGGAGCUAAUCCCAAAAAGCCGGUCUCAGUUCGGAUUGGGGUCUGCAACUCGACCCCAUGAAGUCGGAGUCGCUAGUAAUCGCAGAUCAGCAACGCUGCGGUGAAUACGUUCCCGGGCCUUGUACACACCGCCCGUC